rnacentral:tRNA from 2 species
UGCCCUGUUAGCUUAGUGGAUAAAGCAGCGGCCUUCUAAGCCGUUGACACUGGUUCGAGUCCAGUACGGGGUGCCAA